GUCUGGAGCUGCCAUCAAUCAGCCGCGUCCCGUUGUGAUGUGAGGUGUGGGGCCUGGGAUGAGGUUCAUCAUUCACAUUCAAAGGGGUAUGAUCUUUGCCGCCCAGAUGUGAACUGCCUUCUUGAAAUGCUGCAGUCCAUGUGCUAAUACCAAAAUGUACACCUGAAGACCAGGUUCGAAUCCCACCUCGGCAGAUGAUGGAAUUUGAACCCAAUAAAAAAAACUUGAAAUUAAGAAUCUGAUUUCCAUGGAACCAGUGCCAAUGUCAGGAAAAAAAAAUCUAAUGUCCUUCAGGGAAAGGAAUCUGCCAACCUGACAAUGGCCCAGCAGCCUCUCAGUUGUAUUAAUCACUGAAGUCUCAACAAAGGCAUGAAACUGGAUGGGCCACCUAGCAUCUACCAAGGUACUAGAAAAUACAAACACAGAAUCAGCCCUAUCGACCCUGCAAAAUCUUCCUGACUAACAUCUGGGGGCUAGUGCCAAAACUUGAAUAAGUGUCUUACAGAUCAGUCAAGCAACUGCCUGAUGUAGUCAUACUUACAGAAUCAUACAGUCAAUGACCCAGACACCACCACCACCACCACCAUCCUUGGAUAUUUCCUGUCCCGCCAGCAGGACAGACUGGGCAGAGGUGGCUGCGCAGUGUUGUACAGACAGGAAAGAUUUGCCCUGGGAGUACUCAACGUUGACUCUGGAUGCCAGGAGGUCUCAUGGCUCCUGCUGAUUAUCAUGUACCGUCCUCCCUUGACUUUUGAAUCACUACUUCUCCAUGUUGAACAACAUUUGGAGGAAACACGGAGGGUGUAAAUGGUGCCAAACUUACUCUGGGUAUAGGAUUUCAAUGUCCACCAUCAAGAGUAACUCAGCACUACUGAUCAAGCUGGUCAGGUCCUCAAGGAUAUAGAUGAUGACUGGGUCUACAGGUUGUAGUGAGGGUAACAAGAGGAAAAGAUAUCCCUUGUGUUGAAUGACACUAUAACUGUGCUAAAUGGGACAGACUUCAAACAGAUGUAGAAUACAAAACUGGACAUUGAUGAGCCAUCAACAGCAGAACUGUACUCCAGCAUGAUCUGAAAUCUCAUGGCCUGGCAUAUCCCGCACUCAAGCAUUACCAUCAAGCCAGGGGAUCAAUCGUGGUUCAAUGCAGAGUGCAGGAUGGCAUGCCAGAAGCAGCACCAGGCAUACCUAAAAAUAAGGUGCCAAACUGGUGAAGCUACUAAAAAGGUCUAGCAACAUGCCAUCAGCAUAAACAGCAAGAGACAAAGCUAAGCGAUCUCACAAUCAAUGGAUUAGACAUAAUCCCUGUAGUUCUGCCACAUCCAGUCGUGAAAAGUAACAGACAAUUUAAAAAAAUUUAAUCAUUUGUGGGAUGUGGGCAUCGCUAGCUGGCCAGCAUUUAUUGCCUGUCCCUAGUUAAACUACUCCCUGGAAGAGGCACCAGAAAAAUUAUCACCCUUACUGAUGGAGGAGCCCAACACAUCCAUGCAAAAGAUAAGAUUACAGCACUUGCAGCAAUUUUAAGCCAGAAGUGCCCAGUGGAUGAUCCAUCUUGGCCUUUUCCAGUGGUCACCAGCUUCACAGUUGAAAGUUUUCAGCCAAUUUGAUUCAUUUCACGUAACAUCAAGAAAUGGACAAACAGUGCAAAGGCUAUGGACCCUGCCAACACUCUGACAACAGUAAUGAGGAUUUGUGCGCCAGAACUUACCGCCUACCAAGCCAAGCUGCUUCAGUAACACUACAGCUGUGGCAUCUACUGAAAAUGUGGAACAUUGCCCAGGUAUGUUCAGCACAAAAACAGACAGCAAAUACAACCUGGCCAAUUUCCCCUCCAUCAGUCUACUUUUGAUUAUCAGUAGAGCGUUGAAAGGUGUCAUCAACAGUGCAAUCAAGCAGCACCUGCGUGGCAAUGCCCCGUUUGAGUUCGGCAAAGACCACUCAACUCCUGACCUUGUUGCAUACUUGAUUCACAACUUGAUGAACAGCUGAAUUCCAGAAAUUAGGUGAGAGUGACAUCCCAGUCUCACACCAAGGACACCUGUUUCUACUUCAGUGACAUCACCCAACUCCACCCUAGUCUCGGCUCAUUUGCUGAAACUUUCAUCCAUUCCUGUGUUACCUCUAGACUUCACUAUCCAAACAGACUCCCAGCCAGCCUCCAGCCAUUCAGGCCUGUGACAUUCUCGAUGAUGAAAGUGGGAAAAUUGACGACAGACUCUGAAAACAGUGAGAGCUCCAGCUUCACAACAGCCCUUUGAAUCUCUGCUGACACUCUGCUUUAAGAGUAUUUGAAGAGGAUUCACAGACUGAAAACUCCAACCAACCAUCAUUUAAGAAUCUGACAGAAUCAGUGGAUUCAUCAGAUACUCAAUAUUUUUGGCCUUUGGAUUUCAGUAAAUAUUGCCAAUCCUCAGUUACCUUUUGGAGAAGAUGAUGUUUGACCUUCCUGAACUACUACAGUACAUGUGGUGAAGGUGCUCCCAAAAUACUGUUCGGAAUUUAGAAUGAGAAGAUUUGUAGUCACAAAUCUCCAAACCAAACAUCACAUCAGCAUCUGAUGGAAUCACGUGGCAUAUUGACGUGUGAAUACCAUUGGGUUUUGAACAUGGAAGGAAAGAGCAUUGUUCAUAGUGGAGAGAAACCGUACACAUAUUCUGUGUGGAAAAAGCUUCAGCCAAUCAUUAUUCCUCUCAAAACAAAAUACAGGCACCAAAUGGAGAAACUGUGGAAAUGUAAGGAAUGUGGGAAGGGAUUCACUUCUCCAUCAAAGCUGGAAACUCAUUGGUGCAGUCACACUGAGGAGAAGCCAUUCACCUGCUUCAAGUGUGGGAAGGGAUUUAUCCAGUUACCCCACCUACUGACACGCCAGUGAGUUUACACUGGGGACAGAUCUUUUAAAUGCUCCCAGUGUUGGAAAAGAUUCACUCAAUUAGGUCACCUACUGACACACCAGCAGAUUCACACUGACCCUGCAUCUGCAUUCAACAUGGAAAGAGUUUCAGGCAUUCAGAGCUUCAUUGCACACCAGCGGGUUCACAGUGGGGAGAGGCCAUUCACCUGCUCCGACUGUGGGAAGGGAUUCACUCAGUUAGGUACCUUGCUGACACACCAACAAGUCCACACUGGGGAGAGGCCGUUCAUCUGCUCCAUGUGUUGGAAGGGAUUCGUUACCUCAUCCCACCUGUGGAGACACCAGUGAGCUCACCUGAAACGGUAGGUAUUGGAUUCUGCUGUUGCCGUUGAUCAGGAAGGUCAGGUUCCACUCAGAAUUGCUCACUGUGAAGAUGAUGGUGCACAAAAGAUGCACAAUAUACUUAGAACUGUCAAAUAUGUCAAAUACUGCCAAGCAUGUCAAGACCUGUCAAGAAGUGUUUCUAUCAAUGAGAGCACUUUCCUCAAUAGCAAGCCAUCUGCAAUGUCAAACAUUAAUUUGCUUUCUCCUGUGUGCGUGGGUAUUUGUGGAUACUGGGUGAGCUGGCAGGAGCUGGAGAAAUAAUACUGAGUGGAUGUAAGCAUUAAAUUGGUGUAGUAGAUGAGGGUGAAUGGGGUAGGGGGAGGGUACUGGGUGACAUGGAUGGACCGUGGGCAGAGUGACGGGGUGAGUGAUGGAGGACGGUUUCUGUUUUAUUGCUUCGUUUAAUUUUUGGUCACAGUGCUGAGAUCCAAGGCUGGCUGUCUGCCCCAGGCCUCCUCGGGUAAUGGCACCAUCUCCUGGGUCAUUUUUCCGAUUUCUAAUUGAUCCCAUUGCCUCCAGACUGACAGUGGAGAACAUGGAUAGCCAGAAUUAAAGGGCAAAAUUGUAGCAUCGGAAAUCUUUCCUGUACACUUGGCUUGGCAGUAAGAAUCAAGGCAUUGGAUGUUACUUUCUACUGAUGUUAAUUGUACCUGUCACUGGGCUAGAGUUUAAUAUUCUGGAUCGGUAGCUGUUUAAAGUCAACUUAGAAAUCUGGUUCAUUCAACAGACUCUUGGAUGCUCGGGGAAUUGUUUGCAAUGAAGGCACCUUCAUAAGUAUGCAAGAAGAAAUACAAAUCUACAAGAAUAAAAACAUGCAUUCAAUUUGCAAGACCAUUAGUUCCAAAAUAUCUGUGCUUUUAAUGUGGUCUCCAAAAGUGCAAAACUGGAGUUAACAGUCUAGAAUUCCUUUAUGGGAGUGGUUAAUUAAGUAGUCAGUUUCUUCCCAUUAAAAUUCCCUCGAAUGUCAUGAGAAAUAUUCCUGAAAUGUACAUUCUAUUUCACUGUUUUGGUGAAAGGAUGUUGAUUGCUUGUAUGAUGCUGUUCUACAGAUUUCUUGCUGCUUUUUAUAGGCAAGAGGCUUCAUCUUCAUUGCUUGGAAUUAGAGGUUUAGAUUUCAACUGUAGAUGUUGUUUGAGGUUUCGCUGUCCACUUAACAGCUAGCUAUUUCAAAAUUGUCGAAGGGAGCUGAGGUCAACACUGUUGGAGUCAUGUGAAAAAAAUCUGCUUUUUGGUCGGAUGGUGGUGGGAAUGGAGCCAUUAAAAUCUCCUUACAGCAGCAGGCUAACUUGUUAUUUCCCACGGUGACAAUCUGUCUGUGGCAGUUUUUAACACGAUAGUUUAACAUUCCAGCCCCUUCAGGAGGUACAUGAGAUAUAGGUACAGUAUUCCAGCUAACUUUUAUUUCAGAAAACAUUUCUGGAAAGUCACCACUAGGUCCAGUCCUGUGAUUAUAGAAUAAAAACUGUGAAGGAGAAAAGCGUUAACGUUUCGGGUCCGGUGACCCUUCCUCAGAACACGUGAUUGCAGAAGAUGUGUGUAAUGAAAUAAUGUUCAACAGCGCAAUAGUCAUCAAAUAUAUAUGUAUUAAAAGUCUUUUAAAAUCUAUUUUUGAUAGUGUACAGCAAAGCAGAAAAGCAACUGCACUAACACUGAUUCCCAGAAGACUCCACUACAAAUAUUCUUCCACCUGUAAAAUGUCAAUGCAUGACUACUCUCCGUUUCCUGUAUUCAGUCACUUCAAUGUUUAUGUUGCUGCUGUCUCUUUUGUUUCAGGAGUUCUGACCUUUCUCCCAAGUCCAUUGUGUGGCACAGUCUCAAAUACAUUGUGAAAGUUGGUGUGUACCACAUUAACACACACUUCAACACAAUCUAUUAGCUCUUCAAAGCACUCCAGCAAUUUGUUGAGCAUGAUUUUGCCUUCAGAAAUUAAUGCUAACCUUCCUUAAUUAUACGGCAAUUGUCUAUGUGGGUGUUAAUAAUGUCCCAAAUUAUUGUUUUGAGAAGUUUCUCAACCCAAGUGAACCUGAUUGGUCUGUAGCUGCAAGGUUAAUCUGGACUAUUUUUUACAACCAGGGCAUAACAUUUUCAAUUUUU